AUUGAACGCUGGCGGCAGGCCUAACACAUGCAAGUCGAACGAGUGGCGGACGGGUGAGUAAUGUCUGGGAAACUGCAUGAUGGAGGGGGAUAACUACUGGAAACGGUAGCUAAUACCGCAUACAAUCAGAUGUGCUCAGAUGGGAUUAGCUAGUGGGGGAGGUAACGGCUCACCUAGGCGACGAUCCCUAGCGUGGCUGUGAGGAGGACCAGCCACACUGGGACUGAGACACGGUCCAGACUCCUACGGGAGGCAGCAGUGGGGAAUAUUGCACAAUGGGCGCAAGCCUGAUGCAGCCAUGCCGCGUGUAUGAAGAAGGCCUUCGGGUUGUAAAGUACUUUCAGCGGGGAGGCGUUACCCGAAGAAGAAGCACCGGCUAACUCCGUGCCAGCCGCCGCGGUAAUUC
rnacentral:rRNA from 1 species